rnacentral:misc_RNA from 1 species
AACCUUAUGGACCUGCGGGCGUAUACCUGCGGAGGGAUCAUUACAUGGCGGAGAAGGUGGGCACCUGGCCAAAAAAAACUCCAGGUUGUCAUGCCUUCACGCUCUUCCACCCUUGUCUAUUUGUACCUUUUGUCGUUCCCUUGGCGGGUUUCGACCCGCCGGCGGUAACCAUUGAAAACCCUUUUUGCAGUUUAGCAUCCAAUUCUUCUGAUCAAAUAUCAAAUCGUUACAACUUUCAAC